AGAGUUUGAUCCUGGCUCAGAAUCAACGCUGGCGGCGUGCCUAACACAUGCAAGUCGAACGCGAAAGCCCCGCAAGGGGUCAGUAGAGUGGCAAACGGGUGAGUAACACGUGGGUGACCUGCCUUCGAGUGGGGGAUAACGUCCCGAAAGGGACGCUAAUACCGCAUGACAUCCUGCUCUUGGACGAGCGGAGAUCAAAGCCGGGGAUCGCAAGACCUGGCGCUUGAAGAGGGGCCCGCGCCUGAUUAGCUAGUUGGUGGGGUAAUGGCCUACCAAGGCGACGAUCAGUAUCCGGCCUGAGAGGGCGGACGGACACACUGGGACUGAGACACGGCCCAGACUCCUACGGGAGGCAGCAGUGGGGAAUUGUUCGCAAUGGGCGCAAGCCUGACGACGCAACGCCGCGUGGAGGAUGAAGAUCUUCGGGUCGUAAACUCCUGUCGAGCGGGAAGAAACCCACGAGGGUGAAUAAUCCUUGUGGCUGACGGUACCGCUAAAGGAAGCCCCGGCUAACUCCGUGCCAGCAGCCGCGGUAAUACGGGGGGGGCAAGCGUUGUUCGGAAUUACUGGGCGUAAAGGGCUCGUAGGCGGCCAACUAAGUCGGACGUGAAAUCCCCAGGCUCAACCUGGGAACUGCGUCCGAUACUGGAUGGCUUGAAUUCGGGAGAGGGAUGCAGAAUUCCAGGUGUAGCGGUGAAAUGCGUAGAUAUCUGGAGGAAUACCGGUGGCGAAGGCGGCAUCCUGGACCGACAUUGACGCUGAUGAGCGAAAGCCAGGGGAGCAAACGGGAUUAGAUACCCCGGUAGUCCUGGCCCUAAACGAUGAAUGCUUGGUGUGACGGGUAUCGAUCCCUGUCGUGCCGAAGCUAACGCAUUAAGCAUUCCGCCUGGGGAGUACGGUCGCAAGACUGAAACUCAAAUGAAUUGACGG
rnacentral:rRNA from 1 species